GCGGGUCUGCUCUGCACACUGCCCCCUCCCCAAGUGCCACUCCCCCAGCUCCAAUUGGCCGGGAGCCACUUGGGGAGGGGGCAGCGUGAAGAGCGGAGCCCCCUGGCUUCCCCUAUGCAUAGGAGCUGGAGCGAGGCCAUGCCGCUGCUUCCGGGAGCUGCUUGAGAGCUACAAAUCUACUGGGAGUAACCUCCUCUCGCACACUUCUGUGACAUUCAAGUCAAAAAAGUACUUGGAACUAGCUACAACAUACAAGAGUAGAACUUCAGUGAACUUUCCUCCCCAACCUGCAGACUCCCUAUCAAUAAGUAGAAAGUUGUGUAAGAACCCCAGGGCAGUGUAAGAACCUAUACAGAACAGAAUAGAAUUCUAAACUUCAGGACUGCAGUACCCAUUCUCCCCGGGACCACAAAAGGAUCCACCUAUGUCCAUCACGUU